GCCUGGGUGACAGAGUCCAGCCUGGGUGACAGAGUGAGACCCUGUCUCAUAAUAAAAAAAAAUUUUUUAAAGGCCAAGUGGGAUGCCAAAUGAUCCAAAAUGAGGGUGAUUUGCAGGCUCUGUCAAAUCAUCUCUAGUCUUCAGAAUGUCAUGAUUCUGGCUGUCUUGGAAAGAAGUAAAACAAUGAGAGAUAACAUUAGUGAUUUGACAAUCAAAAGAGAAUUUUUGUGUCAGAAUGAAAAAAAAAAAAAGGAAUUUCACUAAGGAACCAACUAAAACAUCAUGAAGAAAAUUACAACCCAGUUCUUCUUUGGAGACUUACUGUAGCCAAGAAAUAAUUCAGGAUCAGGAGUUAGCCCAAAUUCUAGUCAAAUAAUAAAGCUUAAAAACAAAGGUCAGGGCUGGAAUCUAGUAUAAACAGGUGUGGUACAGUUUUCCUUUGAAACAUAAUUUUUAGCUCUCUCUAGUCCCCCUUUUCUACUAAAGAGAAAGUAUAGUAAGAUCGAUCUGUGUGCAAAAUUAGUUUUAGCCUUAUUGUACUUCACCUGAUUAUUUGCACAAAGUGCAGCAAGAAUUGUUUGACCAUAUAGGCUUUGCUGGAACUUUACCUGAAAAUUUGUUAGUCUAAUCAAAGCCUUGGUAAAAUAAUCAAUGUCUCCAAUUGUGCCCUAUUAACAAAAAAAAAAAAAAAAGGAAACAUUCUUAUUCAUCAUAUACAAAUAUAACUAUAUUGCCAUAACAUAAGAAUACUCAUGAAUAGUUUCCAAAUUUUAGAGAACUCAGGGAGAAAGAAAGGUAAAUUUGGGUCACAAAAGUGUAGUUUACAAUCAGAGUUGCUGCCUUCCAAACAAGUAUGUUUGUUCACUGUUGGGAGAAAAGCUGAGUGUUGGGAGAGAAGCUGAGGCAGGGCUUGGAACAUGUCCAGGGUAAAACCCCUUGUGGCCUUUGGAAUGUGUCCAGACUUGCUGGCUCCUUGCUUCUAGUACUCCCAUGAUCUCAAGUAGCCAUAUGUUUCAAAGAAAAUGCUAAACCGUCACAGUUGUAGCUCAUUCACCUGAUACACUGCUUCCUUUCAACCCCCACAUCCUCACCACUUGUUUCUUUGUUUGAUCACCAAUAAAUAGUGUGGGCUCCCAGAGCUCAGGGCCUUCACAGCCUCCAUACUAGUAUUGGCCCCCUGGUCCUACUUUCUCUGUUAACUUGUCUUUUCUCAUUCCUUUGACUCCGCUGGACUUCAUAGCCCCCACAGCCUGGUGUUGGGUCCAAUCACCCCAACAUUCCUGGUGCCCAACGUGGGGUGACGAAGACCCCAGGGAAGAAACACUAGGAUGUGUGAAAGUGGAGGACGCAUCAUCAGAGGGCACCUGAGGACGACUGAAAGAAGCUCGGCAGAAAAGCUGAGCGCUCUGAAGAACUAGGGUCCCACUCCAGGAGGCUUUUCAUACAGAAGAUGAGUGGACACCAACUGGAGACACUGGAGCAAGGGCCCCACAGUGUGACAUUUGGUUGUCUCUUGAUGGGGGAGGGAAAGUGUGCUUUUGGGUACAAGUAUGGGAUAGGUGGAUCCUAUCAUGUGGAGGAUAUUGCUUCUCGACCUUUUGGCUAAGAUCAAGUGUAGUAUCAUGAGGAGGCUUCUUUGAAAUUGUGGGUUUCCACUUAUGUAAUCAGUGGUGCCAUUAUAUGCCUAGCACCAAGGUAUGUAAAUGUUGCAUUAAAACCUUCUUGAGGUGGCC